rnacentral:rRNA from 1 species
GCGGACGGGUGAGUAAUGCGUAGGAAGCUACCCGAUAGAGGGGGAUACCAGUUGGAAACGACUGUUAAUACCGCAUAAUGUCUACGGACCAAAGUGUGGGACCUUCGGGCCACAUGCUAUCGGAUGCGCCUGCGUGGGAUUAGCUAGUUGGUGGGGUAAUGGCUCACCAAGGCGACGAUCCCUAGCUGGUUUGAGAGGAUGAUCAGCCACACUGGAACUGAGACACGGUCCAGACUCCUACGGGAGGCAGCAGUGGGGAAUAUUGGACAAUGGGCGCAAGCCUGAUCCAGCCAUGCCGCGUGUGUGAAGAAGGCCUUCGGGUUGUAAAGCACUUUCAGUAGGGAGGAAGGGUGUUGUGUUAAUAGCACAGCAUUUUGACGUUACCUACAGAAGAAGCACCGGCUAACUCUGUGCCAGCAGCCGCGGUAAUACAGAGGGUGCAAGCGUUAAUCGGAAUUACUGGGCGUAAAGCGCACGUAGGCGGUUUUUUAAGUCAGAUGUGAAAGCCCCGGGCUCAACCUGGGAAUUGCAUUUGAAACUGGAAAAC